rnacentral:tRNA from 3 species
GCGGGAGUAGCUCAGUUGGUAGAGCGCAACCUUGCCAAGGUUGAAGUCGCGGGUUCGAGUCCCGUCUCCCGCU